rnacentral:rRNA from 1 species
AGAACGAACGCUGGCGGCAUGCCUAACACAUGCAAGUCGAACGCUCUUGGGGCUUCGGUUCCAAGGGAGUGGCGCACGGGUGAGUAGCGCGUGGGAACCUGCCCUGGAGUGGGGGAUAACCGAGGGAAACUUCGGCUAAUACCGCAUGCGCCCGGGAAACCGGGGAAAGAUUUAUCGCUCUAGGAGGGGCCCGCGUCGGAUUAGCUAGUUGGUGGGGUAACGGCCUACCAAGGCUUUGAUCCGUAGCUGGUCUGAGAGGAUGAUCAGCCACACUGGGACUGAGACACGGCCCAGACUCCUACGGGAGGCAGCAGUGGGGAAUAUUGGACAAUGGGCGCAAGCCUGAUCCAGCAAUGCCGCGUGAGUGAUGAAGGCCUUAGGGUUGUAAAGCUCUUUCGCCCGCGACGAUGAUGACGGUAGCGGGAGAGAAGCCCGGCUAACUCGUGCCAGCAGCCGC